rnacentral:pre_miRNA from 1 species
UGUGCACGGGUGGGGUCCCUCAGCCUGGCCUGUGCCCUCUCACAAUCCAGGACCCCCCGAGGGAUGUUGUAGAGCAGGUUUCGGCCCGAUCCCCACAGGCCAGGCUGAGGGACCUCACCAGUGCAUG